AGGGUUAGCGUUGAACCGGGAUGUGGACAUGAAGCUAGUGUUAGGGUUGAACUGGGAUGUGGACAUGAAGCUAGUGGUACGGUUGAACUAGGAUGUGGAUAUGAAGCUAGGGUUAGCAUUGAACCGGGAUGUGGAAAUGCAGCUAGGGUUAGGGUGGAACCAGGAUGUGGACAUGAAGCUAGGGUUAGGGUUGAACUGGGAUGUGGACAUGAAGCUAGGGUUAGGGUUGAACCAGGAUGUGGACAUGAAGCUAGGGUUUGGGUUGAACUGGGAUGUGGACAUGAAGCUAGGGUUAGGGUUAGAGUUGAACCAGGAU
ensembl:lncRNA